GAUGAACGCUAGCUACAGGCUUAACACAUGCAAGUCGAGGGGCAGCAUGGUCUUAGCUUGCUAAGGCCGAUGGCGACCGGCGCACGGGUGAGUAACACGUAUCCAACCUGCCGUCUACUCUUGGACAGCCUUCUGAAAGGAAGAUUAAUACAAGAUGGCAUCAUGAGUCCGCAUGUUCACAUGAUUAAAGGUAUUCCGGUAGACGAUGGGGAUGCGUUCCAUUAGAUAGUAGGCGGGGUAACGGCCCACCUAGUCUUCGAUGGAUAGGGGUUCUGAGAGGAAGGUCCCCCACAUUGGAACUGAGACACGGUCCAAACUCCUACGGGAGGCAGCAGUGAGGAAUAUUGGUCAAUGGGCGAGAGCCUGAACCAGCCAAGUAGCGUGAAGGAUGACUGCCCUAUGGGUUGUAAACUUCUUUUAUAAAGGAAUAAAGUCGGGUAUGCAUACCCGUUUGCAUGUACUUUAUGAAUAAGGAUCGGCUAACUCCGUGCCAGCAGCCGCGGUAAUACGGAGGAUCCGAGCGUUAUCCGGAUUUAUUGGGUUUAAAGGGAGCGUAGAUGGAUGUUUAAGUCAGUUGUGAAAGUUUGCGGCUCAACCGUAAAAUUGCAGUUGAUACUGGAUAUCUUGAGUGCAGUUGAGGCAGGCGGAAUUCGUGGUGUAGCGGUGAAAUGCUUAGAUAUCACGAAGAACUCCGAUUGCGAAGGCAGCCUGCUAAGCUGCAACUGACAUUGAGGCUCGAAAGUGUGGGUAUCAAACAGGAUUAGAUACCCUGGUAGUCCACACGGUAAACGAUGAAUACUCGCUGUUUGCGAUAUACGGCAAGCGGCCAAGCGAAAGCGUUAAGUAUUCCACCUGGGGAGUACGCCGGCAACGGUGAAACUCAAAGGAAUUGACGGGGGCCCGCACAAGCGGAGGAACAUGUGGUUUAAUUCGAUGAUACGCGAGGAACCUUACCCGGGCUUAAAUUGCAGAUGAAUUACGGUGAAAGCCGUAAGCCGCAAGGCAUCUGUGAAGGUGCUGCAUGGUUGUCGUCAGCUCGUGCCGUGAGGUGUCGGCUUAAGUGCCAUAACGAGCGCAACCCUUGUUGUCAGUUACUAACAGGUUCCGCUGAGGACUCUGACAAGACUGCCAUCGUAAGAUGUGAGGAAGGUGGGGAUGACGUCAAAUCAGCACGGCCCUUACGUCCGGGGCUACACACGUGUUACAAUGGGGGGUACAGAGGGCCGCUACCACGCGAGUGGAUGCCAAUCCCCAAAACCUCUCUCAGUUCGGACUGGAGUCUGCAACCCGACUCCACGAAGCUGGAUUCGCUAGUAAUCGCGCAUCAGCCACGGCGCGGUGAAUACGUUCCCGGGCCU
rnacentral:rRNA from 1 species